CAAUGCUUGGAUAUCGUAACAAUGGUGCAGGAAGAAGAACAAGGAGGGUACCAGUUAGCGUCAGAUGGAAUUACGCAUACAGAAUCAGCUACUGCUGUAGACGCAAUUACUCCACCAGCAGCUUUGAGGGCCCCAGGGGUUGAUGAACAGACCAUAUUUGAGGCAUCAAGGAUGACAGUAACUCAAGGAGGACAGCACCUUAAUACUAUGCGUACUAUUGGUGAUCAUGAACAGGACACACCAGUGAUUCUGCAGAGACAUGAAGUUACAAUUGAUCCGAGAUUAGUACCUAAAGUUGGUAUGACAUUCAGUGGGGUGGAUGAAGCAUAUAAAUUUUAUAGUAGGUAUGCAUAUGAAGUUGGAUUUCCAUUGAAAAAGUAUAGGGAACGGAAAAAUUGUAAGUGGUUGAAUUGCUCGAUGGAAGGCAAAAGAUCAGUAAGGGGAAUAUCAAACCCAAAGGUACGUAGUACCAGUUCGAAACGGACACAAUGCAAGGCCGGUAUGAAACUUAAAAAAUUUAUGAUGAUGCAAAAGAGACAGUUAUAUCAGUGCGUAUUGAUCUGUUGCACUUGGAUCAUAAUCAUGAAUUUUUUAAAAAGGAUACCGAAAAGAAUCAAUUACAAUGCAACAAGACGCAUGAUCCUGAAUACAUGGAGUUCAUAAGUUCAAUGCAAGAGAGUCGAAUCCCGCAACAUUGUAUUAUGGAUUAUGUAUCAGAAAUGCACGGUGGUCCUGAGAGUGUGCCUGUAACAGCACAGGACAUGUAUAACCUGAAAAAGGCAAAGCAACGAGAAAGAAAUGCAAAUGAUGUGGCAAAGCUACUAUCCUUUUUUGCAUCCUGCAAAAAGGAUAAUCCACAAUUUUUCUCUGACUUCCAAUUGGAUAAAGAAGGCAAGAUUUUAAGCAUAUUUUGGUCACAUGCAAGCCAGCAAGGGGAUUACAUUGAUUUUGGUGAUGCGGUUACAUUUGACACAACACAUAAGACUAAUCUGUAUGAAAAACCACUAGGUAUGUUUGUUGG